GACGAACGCUGGCGGCGUGCUUAACACAUGCAAGUCGAACGGAAAGGCCCUGCUUUUGUGGGGUGCUCGAGUGGCGAACGGGUGAGUAACACGUGAGUAACCUGCCCUUGACUUUGGGAUAACUUCAGGAAACUGGGGCUAAUACCGGAUAGGAGCUCCUGCUGCAUGGUGGGGGUUGGAAAGUUUCGGCGGUUGGGGAUGGACUCGCGGCUUAUCAGCUUGUUGGGGGGGUAGUGGCUUACCAAGGCUUUGACGGGUAGCCGGCCUGAGAGGGUGACCGGCCACAUUGGGACUGAGAUACGGCCCAGACUCCUACGGGAGGCAGCAGUGGGGAAUAUUGCACAAUGGGCGGAGGCCUGAUGCAGCAACGCCGCGUGCGGGAUGACGGCCUUCGGGUUGUAAACCGCUUUCGCCUGUGACGAAGCGUGAGUGACGGUAAUGGGUAAAGAAGCACCGGCUAACUACGUG
rnacentral:rRNA from 1 species